GACGAACGCUGGCGGCGUGCUUAACACAUGCAAGUCGAACGGAAAGGCCCUGCUUUUGUGGGGUGCUCGAGUGGCGAACGGGUGAGUAACACGUGAGUAACCUGCCCUUGACUUUGGGAUAACUUCAGGAAACUGGGGCUAAUACCGGAUAGGAGCUCCUGCUGCAUGGUGGGGGUUGGAAAGUUUCGGCGGUUGGGGCUGGACUCGCGGCUUAUCAGCUUGUUGGUGGGGUAGUGGCUUACCAAGGCUUUGACGGGUCGCCGGCCUGAGAGGGUGACCGGCCACAUUGGGACUGAGAGACGGCCCAGACUCCUACGGGGGGCAGCAGUCGGGAAUAUUGCACAAUGGGCGGAAGCCUGAUGAAGAGACGCCGCGGGCGGGAUGACGGCCUUCGGGUUGUAAACCGCUUUCGCCUGUGACGAAGCGUGAGUGACGGUAAUGGGUAAAGAAGCACCGGCUAACUACGUG
rnacentral:rRNA from 1 species